rnacentral:lncRNA from 1 species
GUGAAGGGACUCUCUUCAACCAAGGUAGAAGAAGGGGAUCAAUGAUUCAACAAAAGAGAUUUGAGACUUGUGAAAAGCGAUGAGAAUCUAAACAAAGGCAUGAGAAGCAAAGUGUAAGCAUGAGAGAGGAGUGAAUGGAAGCUAUGGAGAAGGUUAGAGAGAAAGCAACUAUGAAGAAGAGGGUUUGGAGUUUUGUUUUCAAGUCCAAACGAAGAUUGGAACUCAAACAAGUG